rfam:Myotis davidii contig320691, whole genome shotgun sequence.
AGAGGCCCUUUGCUGCUGUGGUGGAAAGCUUGCCUCAUCGCUAUGGCGAUGAAGCAAGCAUUCCGCCAGGCAGCUCACACUGCCCAC